UGGAUAAAAGACCUUACUGUCCCGAGACA
rnacentral:piRNA from 1 species